rnacentral:lncRNA from 1 species
GCUGGUAGGGAGACAGCAUGCCACUGGAAAAAUUCGUAGACAUGGAAUUCCUGGAUCAAAUGGAGGAGAUGGAAGAUUGAGAGCAGAGUGCAAGAAUGGGAAGAGGGCUUCGUGCCCUGUGCACGUUUGCCACCUAGUGACCAAACUGAAUGGUGUGCUUCUCACCUCAGCCUGAUAGCCUGACCUUGACUCCUGAGUUCCACGAUCGCUUCACAACUGCAAGUCACCAUCAUACAAAAUUUGAGUUUCCCUAAGUCCGCGCCUUUGAGAGCUUUGGAACGAUAUGCAAGUUCAAGUCACCAUCCUGUUUCUUGCUACCUCCUGUGAGAAGACCAACAUUUGGGUUACUUGUUUCUACUCUUGUUCUUCUGCUUGUUAUUGUUGCCUCUGCAGCCAUUGAUCACACACGUGUUGUCAUACAAAAACUGGUUAGCCUUUUUAUUUGUCUUGUGAAUUUUAUCAUUUGGUUCUUAAGUAUUACAAAUUAAUAUUGUGUACUCUCAUUGAUAUACAACUUUCAGUCAUUGUAAAUAUGCGUGAGUUAGGGGUGAGAAUGGCAUGCAAGCAAAAGAACAAGGAGAGGGAUGAUAGAGAUGCAAGAAGAGUAAAGAGGGCAAGAAAGUUUAUGUUAAUAGCGAACACAAUGAAAGUUCUUUAAAUGCUUGAUAAUGGUGAAAGCAACACUUCCUAGGGCAUAUUUUUGGUGUUAAUGAACCUACACAUCAUACAAUAAAGAAAAUUGAG